UGACUCUCUUGUCCUUGAGAGCUGUUUUGGUGUGUUUCAUGGAAAUAAUGAACUGUGCCCUCCAUUAGUUGGUGAGAUCUGUGAGUUUCUUUCUUUCUUCUUCUGGAUCCUUACUUGACAAGCAGCUUGGUCUUCAUUCAGUGCAUCCAUGCCUGGACAGAUGAUGUAUAUACUCUUAAAAUUACUUCUCCAAGAAUUACUUCUGUUUUCUAGCUUGUUCUUAUGCUUGAUCAUGCCCCAACUUUUAAGUUUUCCUCUCUCCUUUCUAUUGCAUGUUCCCCUUCACUGGCCACUUACAAGAACUUACAUCACCUUGCAGUGACUCACACAUCCUGUCAAUACUGAAGAAUAUCUGUGUCCCAAAGACCAGAGCCCAUACUCUAGAGACAGCCUGCCAAGGUUCCCUGAAUGUGGUUUCUAUGGAAUGUAUGAUAAGAUCCUGCUUUUUCGCCACGACCCUACCUCUGAAAACAUCCUUCAGCUGGUGAAAACGGCUAGUGAUAUCCAGGAAGGAGAUCUUAUUGAAGUGGUCUUGUCAGCAGAAGAGACUGGAGGAGGAAAGAAAGAAAAGACAAAACUGAAGAUACCGUCAAAAUCAAUGAAAUAAGUCAUCAUGGCUGCCCGUGUUUGCAAUGGCAAGAUGAAGACUGGGUAGUGACUGUUGAUCUAAACACAUCAUGGGAAUGAAUUCCUUUUGCUUGAGGUGAAGGAACUUGCUUUACUUGGAAAGAUGCCAAAUGUCCAUGAUUGGUGUCACAUAACACUCCAGUUCAGUGUCUCAGCCGUGCCACCAUCUGCCCAGUGCUCUCAUUCUGCUGGUUGGCAUGUUGUUUACUUGCUUUUAAUAUGCAACCCAUAUAAAAAUUUCUCAUCAGCUGCUGAAAUUAGAAAUGCAGUUGUUUUAAGGCUUAAACAUCAAUAGCACUAUUUAUUAUGCCCACAUGGAGGAAUAAAAUAGAAAGAUGUAUUUGAAAAGAGCA
rnacentral:lncRNA from 1 species